rnacentral:rRNA from 1 species
CCUACGGGAGGCAGCAGUGGGGAAUCUUGCGCAAUGGGCGAAAGCCUGACGCAGCAACGCCGCGUGCGGGAAGAAGGCCUUCGGGUUGUAAACCGCUUUCAGCAGGAACGAAAAUGACGGUACCUGCAGAAGAAGGUGCGGCCAACUAUGUGCCAGCAGCCGCGGUGAUACAUAGGCACCAAGCGUUGUCCGGAUUUAUUGGGCGUAAAGAGCUCGUAGGCGGUUCAGUCAGUCGGGUGUGAAAACUCUGGGCUUAACCCAGAGCCUGCACCCGAUACUGCUGUGACUAGAGUUCGGUAGGGGAGCGGGGAAUUCCUGGUGUAGCGGUGAAAUGCGCAGAUAUCAGCAGGAACACCGAUGGCGAAGGCACCGCUCUGGGCCGAAACUGACGCUGAGGAGCGAAAGCAUGGGUAGCAAACAGGAUUAGAUACCCUGGUAGUCCAUGCCGUAAACGUUGGGCACUAGGUGUGGGUUCCAAUCAACGGAAUCCGCGCCGUCGCUAACGCAUUAAGUGCCCCGCCUGGGGAGUCGGUCGCAAGACUAAAACUCAAAUUGAAAUUGACGG